AGGGCUAUAGCUCAGUUGGUAGAGCACCUCGUUUCGAGAAGGUCUACGGUUCGAGUCCGUAUAGCCCUA
rnacentral:tRNA from 1 species